rnacentral:rRNA from 1 species
GAUGAACGCUGGCGGCGUGCCUAAUACAUGCAAGUCGAGCGAACGGACGAGCAGCUUGCUUUUCUGAUGUUAGCGGCGGACGGGUGAGUAACACGUGGAUAACCUACCUAUAAGACUGGGCUAACUUCGGGAAACCGGAGAUAAUACCGGAUAAUAUUUUGAACCGCAUGGUUCAAAAGUGAAAGACGGUCUUGCUGUCACUUAUAGAUGGAUCCGCGCUGCAUUAGCUAGUUGGUAAGGUAACGGCUUACCAAGGCAACGAUGCAUAGCCGACCUGAGAGGGUGAGCGGCCACACUGGAACUGAGACACGGUCCAGACUCCUACGGGAGGCAGCAGUAGGGAAUCUUCCGCAAUGGGCGAAAGCCUGACGGAGCAACGCCGCGUGAGUGAUGAAGGUCUUCGGAUCGUAAAACUCUGUUAUUAGGGAAGAACAUAUGUGUAAGUAACUGUGCACAUCGUGACGGUACCUAAUCAGAAAGCCACGGCUAACUACGUG